GCGACCUCUGAGGGCACUACUAUAGGAAGCUGAGGUUGAGAUGACUUCCAGUCCCUUCACCGUGGGUGGAGGGUUUUGACUUUCAUUUUUUCCUUAGUAACAAUGGUCCACUGUGUUCGGUGAGCUACAGGAUUCAUAGUCUUUCCCUCAGCAGCCUAAAAUCUUUGUUCCAAAUGAGAGAUGAAUCCAGGCCGUGUUCAUGCCUUUCCUGCCUUCUCUGCACCUGCACCUCUAGGAGACCCUCUCCAAUCCACUGUGCUGCCUCCAGUCACUCUUGUGAGUUCCUGAAAACAUAAUCUUCUUGAUACCAUCAUUUUGGAGAUGAGAAAUGGCAACUACUUCAAAAUGAAUCUUCAACAGCAGUUGGAGGAGAUUUAAAGACAAUGCAUGCAUGAAGAUGGGCGUGAGAUGCCAGUAACUCCAUGAAUUAGAGUUUCACAUAAGCCAAACCCUCACAGAAUGUCUGCAAAAAAACCCAAGGAAGACGGGGAUAGUUUGACCUCAGCUGUCCACUGCUAGUGGAGAGUAUUUAAGAUAAUCAUUUUAGUAACUUUAGGAUACAAUUAUUUUUAGGAUCUUCCUGUGCUAUUGGCAGUGGGCUGUUUCUCAGUUUGCUGUUGAUUUUUGGUCAAUAGCUGUUACAUGUUACAUGAUCAGAUGUUAUAAUCAAUUAGUUUUAUAUUUUUUCUUUUAAUUGUUUUCCAUAUUGAAACCCACGUGUCAUAAUCUAAUAAUGCUGGAGCUGCAGAGUGUCUCUGAGUUUGAUUUUUGCAAAGACAUUGAUGCAUUUCAAGAAACUAAAGAUAAUAAUGGCAUGGAUAAUAAUUAUACAUUACAUUAAAAAGAAUUAACAGGCGUGGGGUGGUGACUCACGCUUGUAAUCCCAGUACUUUGGGAGGCUGAGGCAGGUGGACCACCUGAGGUCAGAAGUUUAAGACUAGCCUGGCCAACAUGGUGAAAACCUGUCUCUACUAAAUUACAAAAAUAAGCCGGGCAUAUUGGCUCAUGCCUGUAGUCCCAGCUACUUGGGAGGCUGAGAAACAAGAAUCAUGUGAACCUGGGAGGCAGAGGCUGCAGUGAGCCGAGAUCACACCACUGCACUCCAGCCUGGGUGACAGAGAGAGACUCUGUCUCAAAAUAAAUAAAUAAAUAAAUAAAUAAAUAAAUAAAUAAAAAUAAAAGGAAUUAACAAAGAAUUUCUUGAUGGUAAAAUCACCCGUGUGUUUAUAUCAGUGGCCUUUAUGGCUCUGUGUGUCUGUAUGGUGUGGAGAGUGUAUCCUGAGCUAUGUUCCUCUUAUUUUACCUAUAAGCACAUGAUCUGCUUUAUUAUUAUAUUUAAAUAUCCUUAUUGAAUUAUAGUAUGAUGUGCAUUCACAUACAUUUUAUGUAUUUCAAUAAAGACAAAGCGGAGGUUCAACUUAUCCCUUUGUAUGUAACUAACUGUCAUUGUCUGUUUGCCUCAUGGAUCUUAAAAGCCUUCAAGGUGAAGACCAAGCUAAAAUUAUUGAUGUAUCCCCAAUACUCAUAAUAACAUCCUGUCCAAAGUGAUAGCUUAAUAACAGUUUGAAGAGUAAAUUAAUAACUUCAAGAUUAUUUUAUGUAUUUGAAGCUUAGGCAAAGGAGAGUCAAUGAUGCAUUAUCAGAAGACCAUAAAGGAUAUCAAUCUUGCAGACCUGGGAAACCAAGAUAAAUAAAAUGUAUGCUUUUCUAUCAUUCAUAGGGGUGCCCUGUGUGGGAUGUUUUGGCCGUUUUUAAACCUGACAAAAUCUGGCAAAGUUUGCCUUCUCUUGAGGUAUUCCUGGCCCUCCACCCUCCUGGCUUCCUGUAGAUUGCACCCACCCUUGUCCCAGAAGAAUGAAUUACUCACUUCCAGAGAAAAGAUAAUCAAAGUGUGGUAUAGAAUGACGCUGGAUGAGAAUGUUUGUUUCUCCAUAAUUCUGUAACGUCUUCGAGAGUUUGGAAUUUUAAUACCCCACCCUAGUUCACUUCCUAGCACAUAGUUGGUAUUCAAAUAAUUUCUUAAAGCAUAGUGUUCAAUAAAUCUUUAGAUAAAAAAAUUGUGAAAAGUAAAAAGUAUAUUUUAAUAGGAGUAAAACUAGACAUUAUGAUAGAAUCUGAAUAAAAAGGGAAGCAUGACCUUUAGCCUGGGGAAGAAUAUCCUAUAAGAAUUCCAUAGAAUAUCUCUUAGUAAAUGUAGUAAAAACACCCAUUGAUCAAAAGAAAUUGGAUCUAUGGCUCAUAAUAACAUCUCAUUGAUUGAAAAGCACUUUGUAAUAGCUUUCUUCCAUGUGAUAUCUGUCAGGCAUUAACCUUUCAGCCUCCUGAUCAUGUGAAAGGAAUUCUUUGCUUAUGCCACUGCUCAUAUGACCCCAUCCAUGACAUUUCAUAAAUUGCAUCUAUUGAACAGAGAUUUUGGGUUUUCUGGAACUGAAAAAUCCAUUGCCAAAGCAAGGCAUUUCUCUAUGGAUUGUAUGAUAGAAUUUAGCCAUAUGCUCUAGAGACCUGGAGCUAUUUUAGCAAACUUGACUACCUCUGAAAAAUGACUACUUACAAAGAGAUAAGUAAGUUUCAAAUUUUAGAACAUGUAGGGUUCACAUAGAAAUACAUUUAGAAGCAAUCAUAUAUUUAUUUACUCUUUUAAGGACACAUUUAAAAACAUAAAGUGUUCCUCUUAUUUAAAGCAAUGAGUUAAAAUUAUACCAAAUUCUGUACAUAAAAAAGUGAAUAUGCUAAUAAAAUAGUCCACCAAGUUUUAUUAUUAACACUAGGAAAUCAAUCUGCAUGUCCUAACAAAUAAAUAACAAAAUAGAUGAGCAUUUUAACAAAAUAUAAUCUCUUGUAAUUCCAGCUUCAAGCUUGUGUUGCUUUCUUAAGCAGAAAU
rnacentral:lncRNA from 10 species